rnacentral:rRNA from 1 species
UGGGGAAUUUUGGACAAUGGGCGAAAGCCUGAUCCAGCAAUGCCGCGUGUGUGAAGAAGGCCUUCGGGUUGUAAAGCACUUUUGUCCGGAAAGAAAUCCUUGGCUCUAAUACAGUCGGGGGAUGACGGUACCGGAAGAAUAAGCACCGGCUAACUACGUGCCAGCAGCCGCGGUAAUACGUAGGGUGCAAGCGUUAAUCGGAAUUACUGGGCGUAAAGCGUGCGCAGGCGGUUUGCUAAGACCGAUGUGAAAUCCCCGGGUCUCAACCUGGGAACUGCAUUGGUGACUGGCAGGCUAGAGUAUGGCAGAGGGGGGUAGAAUUCCACGUGUAGCAGUGAAAUGCGUAGAGAUGUGGAGGAAUACCGAUGGCGAAGGCAGCCCCCUGGGCCAAUACUGACGCUCAUGCACGAAAGCGUGGGGAGCAAACAGGAUUAGAUACCCUGGUAGUCCACGCCCUAAACGAUGUCAACUAGUUGUUGGGGAUUCAUUUCCUUAGUAACGUAGCUAACGCGUGAAGUUGACCGCCUGGGGAGUACGGUCGCAAGAUUAAAACUUAAAUGAAUUGACGGGGUCAUAGCU